rnacentral:rRNA from 1 species
GACGAACGCUGGCGGCGUGCUUAACACAUGCAAGUCGAACGGAAAGGCCCUGCUUUUGUGGGGUGCUCGAGUGGCGAACGGGUGAGUAACACGUGAGUAACCUGCCCUUGACUUUGGGAUAACUUCAGGAAACUGGGGCUAAUACCGGAUAGGAGCUCCUGCUGCAUGGUGGGGGUUGGAAAGUUUCGGCGGUUGGGGAUGGACUCGCGGCUUAUCAGCUUGUUGGUGGGGUAGUGGCUUACCAAGGCUUUGACGGGUAGCCGGCCUGAGAGGGUGACCGGCCACAUUGGGACUGAGAUACGGCCCAGACUCCUACGGGAGGCAGCAGUGGGGAAUAUUGCACAAUGGGCGGAAGCCUGAUGCAGCAACGCCGCGUGCGGGAUGACGGCCUUCGGGUUGUAAACCGCUUUCGCCUGUGACGAAGCGUGAGUGACGGUAAUGGGUAAAGAAGCACCGGCUAACUACGUGCCAGCAGCCGCGGUGAUACGUAGGGUGCGAGCGUUGUCCGGAUUUAUUGGGCGUAAAGGGCUCGUAGGUGGUUGAUCGCGUCGGAAGUGUAAUCUUGGGGCUUAACCCUGAGCGUGCUUUCGAUACGGGUUGACUUGAGGAAGGUUUUGGGAGAGUGGAAUUCCUGGUGGAGCGGUGGAAUGCGCAGAUAUCAGGAGGAACACCAGUGGCGAAGGCGGUUCUCUGGGCCUUUCCUGACGCUGAGGAGCGAAAGCGUGGGGAGCGAACAGGCUUAGAUACCCUGGUAGUCCACGCUGUAAACGGUGGGUACUAGGUGUGGGGUCCAUUCCACGGGUUCCGUGCCGUAGCUAACGCUUUAAGUACCCCGCCUGGGGAGUACGGCCGCAAGGCUAAAACUCAAAGGAAUUGACGGGGCCCCGCACAAGCGGCGGAGCAUGCGGAUUAAUUCGAUGCAACGCGUAGAACCUUACCUGGGUUUGACAUGGAUCGGGAGCGCUCAGAGAUGGGUGUGCCUCUUUUGGGGUCGGUUCACAGGUGGUGCAUGGCUGUCGUCAGCUCGUGUCGUGAGAUGUUGGGUUAAGUCCCGCAACGAGCGCAACCCUUGUUCACUGUUGCCAGCACGUUAUGGUGGGGACUCAGUGGAGACCGCCGGGGUCAACUCGGAGGAAGGUGGGGAUGACGUCAAGUCAUCAUGCCCCUUAUGUCCAGGGCUUCACGCAUGCUACAAUGGCUGGUACAGAGAGUGGCGAGCCUGUGAGGGUGAGCGAAUCUCGGAAAGCCGGUCUCAGUUCGGAUUGGGGUCUGCAACUCGACCUCAUGAAGUCGGAGUCGCUAGUAAUCGCAGAUCAGCAACGCUGCGGUGAAUACGUUCCCGGG